rnacentral:rRNA from 1 species
UACGUAGGGGGCAAGCGUUAUCCGGAUUUACUGGGUGUAGAGGGGGCGCAGACGGCGAUGCAAGCCAGGAGUGAAAGCCCGGGGCCCAACCCCGGGACUGCUCUUGGAACUGCGUGGCUGGAGUGCAGGAGGGGCAGGCGGAAUUCCUGGUGUAGCGGUGAAAUGCGUAGAUAUCAGGAGGAACACCGGUGGCGAAGGCGGCCUGCUGGACUGCAACUGACGUUGAGGCCCGAAAGCGUGGGGAGCAAACAGG